GAAGAAGAAGAAGAGGAAACCGGUGAAGAAAGCUUCAGCAAAGGUGACUGAAGUUAUUAUGAUGACUCGGGGGAGAAAGAGAAAAGAGAACAAUGACGAAGUGUGUGCUAAGAACAAAAGACCUUUCAAGAAAACGGCUGGAAAGUCUAAGUAGACAGACAAAGAUGACAAGGGGGACAAAGAAAAGAUGACAAUAAAUCCAAUUUUUGUUUCCCAUUAUUCUGUCGAAUUAUUGGUCACAAGUGUUAUACAUUCAGUUUUUUACUAUGGAAUUUAUCAUCAGAGUUAUAUUUGUACUAUGGAAGUUAUCAUCAGAGCUAUUGGAUGUGUGUGUCCUUGUGAACUUGUGAUUAUGUGCUAUGCUAAAUGCUAUGGGAACUAAACCUGUGAACAUGUUCUAUUUGAA